rnacentral:rRNA from 1 species
CCUACGGGGGGCAUCAGUGGGGAAUAUUGGACAAUGGGGGGAACCCUGAUCCAGCCAUGCCGCGUGUGUGAAGAAGGCCCUCGGGUUGUAAAGCACUUUCAGUGAGGAAGAACGCCUGGUGGUUAAUACCCAUCAGGAAAGACAUCACUCACAGAAGAAGCACCGGCUAACUCCGUGCCAGCAGCCGCGGUAAUACGGAGGGUGCGAGCGUUAAUCGGAAUUACUGGGCGUAAAGCGCGCGUAGGUGGCUUGAUAAGCCGGUUGUGAAAGCCCCGGGCUCAACCUGGGAACGGCAUCCGGAACUGUCAAGCUAGAGUGCAGGAGAGGAAGGUAGAAUUCCCGGUGUAGCGGUGAAAUGCGUAGAGAUCGGGAGGAAUACCAGUGGCGAAGGCGGCCUUCUGGACUGACACUGACACUGAGGUGCGAAAGCGUGGGUAGCAAACAGGAUUAGAUACCCUUGUAGUC